rnacentral:tRNA from 1 species
GGGGGUGUGGCUUGGUGGUAGAGCACAUGCUUAGAAUGCACAUGAGGCUCUGGGUUUAAACCAGCACCCCCA